rnacentral:rRNA from 1 species
GGAGUUAGCCGGUGCUUCUUCUGUGAGUGAUGUCCUUCCUGCCGGCUAUUAACCCGCAGGCCUUCUUCCUCACUGAAAGUGCUUUACAACCCGAAGGCCUUCUUCACACACGCGGCAUGGCUGGAUCAGGGUUGCCCCCAUUGUCCAAUAUUCCCCACUGCUGCCUCCCGUAGGAGUCUGGGCCGUGUCUCAGUCCCAGUGUGGCUGAUCAUCCUCUCAGACCAGCUACGGAUCGUCGCCUUGGUGAGCCGUUACCUCACCAACCAGCUAAUCCGACAUAGGCUCAUCCGAUAGCGCGAGGCCCGAAGGUCCCCCGCUUUCCCCCGUAGGGCGUAUGCGGUAUUAGCCUGGGUUUCCCCAGGUUAUCCCCCACUACCGGGCAGAUUCCUAUGCAUUACUCACCCGUCCGCCGCUCGCCACCAGGGAGCAAGCUCCCCGUGCUGCCGCUCGACUUGCAUGUGUAGCGUCGCCGCCACGCGUCACUCUGACGACGAGACUAACUAACUACGUACGUACGUAGACGGGCGGUCGGUCGGACGGACGGACGACGUAGAG